UCGAACGAGAAAGUUUCCUUCGGGAAAUUAGUAAAGUGGCGCAAGGGUGAGUAUCACGUAAAUAAUCUGCCCUCGAGAUCGGGAUAACAUGGUGAAAACUAUGCUAAUACCGGAUAAGACCACAUUUCAUAAGAAAUGCGGUAAAAGGAGUCUCAAUCUUCACUCGAGGAUGAGUUCGCGCAACAUUAGCUUGUUGGUGAGAUAAAAGCUCACCAAGGCUACGAUGUUUAGCCGGCCUGAGAGGGUGAACGGCCACACUGGAACUGAGACACGGUCCAGACUCCUACGGGAGGCAGCAGUGGGGAAUAUUGCGCAAUGGGCGAAAGCCUGACGCAGCAACGCCGUGUGAGCGAUGAAGGCUUUAGAGUCGUAAAGCUCUGUCAAAUGGGAAGAAUUCUGACGGUACCAUUAGAGGAAGCCCCGGCUAACUCCGUGCCAGCAGCCGCGGUAAUACGGAGGGGGCAAGCGUUGUUCGGAAUUAUUGGGCGUAAAGCGUAUGUAGGCGGCUAAGUAAGUCAGGCGUGCAAGCCCGUGGCUCAACCACGGAAUUGCGUUUGAAACUACUUAGCUUGAGUACAGGAGAGGAAAGCGGAAUUCCCAGUGUAGCGGUGAAAUGCAUUGAUAUUGGGAAGAACAUCUGUGGCGAAGGCGGCUUUCUGGUCUGUUACUGACGCUGAGGUACGAAAGCCAGGGUAGCGAACGGGAUUAGAUACCCCGGUAGUCCUGGCUGUAAACGAUGGGCACUAGGUGCAGGAGGUAUCGAUCCCCUCUGUGCCGUAGCUAACGCGUUAAGUGCCCCGCCUGGGGAGUACGGUCGCAAGGCUGAAACUCAAAGGAAUUGACGGGGGCCCGCACAAGCGGUGGAGCAUGUGGUUUAAUUCGACGCACGCGAGAACCUUACCUGAGCUUGACAUGCACGGGCAGCCAUAGAGUAUGGCCCUCUUCGGAGUCGUGUGCAGUGCUGCAUGCUGUCGUCAGCUCGUGUCGUGAGAUGUUGGGUAGUCCCGCACGAGCGCAACCCUGCUUUAGUUGCAUCGGGUCAUGCGGGACUCUAAGGACUGCGGUGAUAACCGAGGAAGGGGGGGAUGACGUCAAGUCCUCAUGGCCUUAUGCUCAGGCUACCACGUGCUACAAUGGCUGGUUGCCAAAGAGUCCCCCACCUCACAGGGGGAGCCUAAUCUUCAUAAAACAAGCUCAGUCCCCAAUGAAGAUUUGUGGGAAUCGGCACUCCCUCCCAAAAUUGUGAAGUCCUCCAUCCAGAC
rnacentral:rRNA from 1 species